GAUGAACGCUAGCUACAGGCUUAACACAUGCAAGUCGAGGGGCAGCGCAGUGUAGUAAUACAUGGGCGGCGACCGGCGCACGGGUGCGUAACGCGUAUCCAACCUUCCCGUUACUCAGGGAUAGCCUUCCGAAAGGGAGAUUAAUACCUGAUGGUGUUCAAAUUCCGCAUGUUAUUUGAACUAAAGAUUUAUCGGUAGCGGAUGGGGAUGCGUGACAUUAGAUAGUAGGCGGGGUAACGGCCCACCUAGUCUACGAUGUCUAGGGGUUCUGAGAGGAAGGUCCCCCACACUGGAACUGAGACACGGUCCAGACUCCUACGGGAGGCAGCAGUGAGGAAUAUUGGUCAAUGGUCGGAAGACUGAACCAGCCAAGUAGCGUGAAGGAUGAAGGUUCUAUGGAUUGUAAACUUCUUUUAUACGGGAAUAAAACCACCUACGUGUAGGUGCUUGUAUGUACCGUAUGAAUAAGCAUCGGCUAACUCCGUGCCAGCCGCCGCGGUAAUAC
rnacentral:rRNA from 1 species